UACGAAGGGUGCAAGCGUUUAAUCGGAAUUACUGGGCGUAAAGCGUGCGUCAGGCGGUUUGUUAAGUCUGUGUGAAACCGGCCCGGUUAACCUGGGAAUUGCGAUGGAGACUGCAAGGCUUGAAUCUGGCAGAGGGGGGUAGAAUUCCACGUGUAGCAGUGAAAUGCGUAGAGAUGUGGAGGAACACCGAUGGCGAAGGCAGCCCCCUGGGUCAAGAUUGACGCUCAUGCACGAAAGCGUGGGGAGCAAACAGG
rnacentral:rRNA from 1 species